rnacentral:rRNA from 1 species
CCUACGGGAGGCAGCAGUGGGGAAUAUUGCACAAUGGGGGAAACCCUGAUGCAGCAACGCCGCGUGGGUGAAGAAGUCUUUCGGUAUGUAAAGCCCUAUCAGCAGGGGAGCGAAUGACGGUACCUGACUAAGCAGCCCCGGCUAACUACGUGCCAGCAGCCGCGGUAAUACGGAGGGGGCACGCGUUAUCCGGAUUUACUCGGUGUAAAGGGGGCGUUGACGGUUGUGCAAGUCUGAAGGUAAAGCCCGGGGCUCAACUGCGGAACGGCUUUGGAAACUGGGUAACUGGAGUGCUGGAGAGGUAAGCGGAAUGCGUGGUGUAGCGGUGAAAUGCAUAGAGAUCACGAGGAACACCGGCGGCGAAGGCAGCUUACUGGACAGUAACUGACGCUGAGGCACGAAAGCGUGGGGAGCAAACAGGAUUAGAUACCCGAGUAGUC